rnacentral:rRNA from 1 species
CCUACGGGUGGCACCAGUGGGGAAUAUUGGGCAAUGGGCGCAAGCCUGACCCAGCAACGCCGCGUGUGGGAUGAAGGCUUUCGGGUCGUAAACCACUGUCAGGAGGGAAGAAAUGGGUGAUUCCCAAUACGGGUCACCCUUGACGGUACCUCCAGAGGAAGCACCGGCUAACUCCGUGCCAGCAGCCGCGGUAACACGGAGGGUGCAAGCGUUAUUCGGAAUUACUGGGCGUAAAGCGCGCGUAGGUUGCGUGGUAAGUCAGAUGUGAAAGCCCUCGGCUCAACCGAGGAACCGCAUUUGAAACUGCUAUGCUUGAGUACGACAGAGGGUGGCGGAAUUCCCGGUGUAGGGGUGAAAUCCGUAGAUAUCGGGAGGAACACCAGUGGCGAAGGCGGCCACCUGGGUCGAUACUGACGCUGAGGCGCGAAAGCGUGGGUAGCAAACAGGAUUAGAUACCCUCGUAGUC